rnacentral:rRNA from 1 species
ACUCUGGUAUUGAUUGGUGCUUGCAUCAUGAUUUACAUUUGAGUGAGUGGCGAACUGGUGAGUAACACGUGGGAAACCUGCCCAGAAGCGGGGGAUAACACCUGGAAACAGAUGCUAAUACCGCAUAACAACUUGGACCGCAUGGUCCGAGUUUGAAAGAUGGCUUCGGCUAUCACUUUUGGAUGGUCCCGCGGCGUAUUAGCUAGAUGGUGGGGUAACGGCUCACCAUGGCAAUGAUACGUAGCCGACCUGAGAGGGUAAUCGGCCACAUUGGGACUGAGACACGGCCCAAACUCCUACGGGAGGCAGCAGUAGGGAAUCUUCCACAAUGGACGAAAGUCUGAUGGAGCAACGCCGCGUGAGUGAAGAAGGGUUUCGGCUCGUAAAACUCUGUUGUUAAAGAAGAACAUAUCUGAGAGUAACUGUUCAGGUAUUGACGGUAUUUAACCAGAAAGCCACGGCUAACUACGUGCCAGCAGCCGCGGUAAUACGUAGGUGGCAAGCGUUGUCCGGAUUUAUUGGGCGUAAAGCGAGCGCAGGCGGUUUUUUAAGUCUGAUGUGAAAGCCUUCGGCUCAACCGAAGAAGUGCAUCGGAAACUGGGAAACUUGAGUGCAGAAGAGGACAGUGGAACUCCAUGUGUAGCGGUGAAAUGCGUAGAUAUAUGGAAGAACACCAGUGGCGGAAAGGCGGCUGUCU